ensembl:snRNA U6 U6 spliceosomal RNA
GGGAUUAAAGAUGCCCAGCUAAAAUUAUUGGAAUGCUACAGAGUUUAGCAUUGCUACUGUGCAAGGAUGACACACAAAUUCAUAAAAGUUGCCAGUCUGUU